GAUGAACGCUAGCUACAGGCUUAACACAUGCAAGUCGAGGGGAAACGGCAUCGAAAGCUUGCUUUUGAUGGGCGUCGACCGGCGCACAGGUGAGUAACGCGUAUCCAACCUGCCCAUCACUUGGGAAUAACCUUGCGAAAGUAAGACUAAUGCCCAAUGACAUCCCACGAAGGCAUCCGAAUGGGAUUAAAGAUUUAUCGGUGAUGGAUGGGGAUGCGUCUGAUUAGCUUGUUGGCGGGGUGACGGCCCACCAAGGCAACGAUCAGUAGGGGUUCUGAGAGGAAGGUCCCCCACAUUGGAACUGAGACACGGUCCAAACUCCUACGGGAGGCAGCAGUGAGGAAUAUUGGUCAAUGGGCGAGAGCCUGAACCAGCCAAGUAGCGUGCAGGAUGACGGCCCUAUGGGUUGUAAACUGCUUUUAUAAGGGAAUAAAGUGGGUCACGUGUGACUUUUUGCAUGUACCUUAUGAAUAAGGACCGGCUAAUUCCGUG
rnacentral:rRNA from 1 species